GAUGAACGCUGGCGGCGUGCCUAAUACAUGCAAGUCGAGCGAACGGACGAGAAGCUUGCUUCUCUGAUGUUAGCGGCGGACGGGUGAGUAACACGUGGAUAACCUACCUAUAAGACUGGGAUAACUUCGGGAAACCGGAGAUAAUACCGGAUAAUAUUUUGAACCGCAUGGUUCAAAAGUGAAAGACGGUCUUGCUGUCACUUAUAGCUGGAUCCGCGCUGCAUUAGCUAGUUGGUAAGGUAACGGCUUACCAAGGCAACGAUGCAUAGCUGACCUGAGAGGAUGAUCAGCCACACUGGAACUGAGACACGGUCCAGACUCCUACGGGAGGCAGCAGUGGGGAAUCUUGCGCAAUGGGCGAAAGCCUGACGGAGCAACGCCGCGUGAGUGAUGAAGGUCUUCGGAUCGUAAAGCUCUGUUAUUAGGGAAGAACAUAUGUGGAAUAAAACGUGCACAUCUUGACGGUACCUAAUGAGAAAGCCACGGCUAACUACGUG
rnacentral:rRNA from 1 species